UUGGCUGUAGUUCAAUGGGAGAACGGCGCGCUGUGAACGCGCAGGUGCAGAGUUCAAUUCUCGCCAGCCAAC
rnacentral:tRNA from 1 species